rnacentral:rRNA from 1 species
UCGCCGCCGACACCGCCCGCCCCGUUCUACCCGCCGACCCAACCGUCGUGGGAUCACCUCACUAUGCGCAACACCACCUACAGCAACACCGACUACCCCACCCCUCCAGCUCCAGAGUGGUACCUCGACAACGGUGCUUCUUUUCAUGUGACGGGCACCCAAGGUAACCUAGCCAAGUCCAGUUCUUCCUUAACGCAUUUACCAUCUAGUAUUCUUAUUGGUAAUGGGCAUCAACUCCCUGUCACUGCCACCGGGUCCACCACUAUUUCUCCCUAUGAUUUUCGGCUCACAGAUGUCCUUGUUUUUCCCACUGUGAUUACUAGUCUUAUUUCUGUUCGUAAUUUCACUAAGGAUAACUCAUACUCAAUUGAAUUUUACCCUUGUGGUUUUCUUGUGAAGGAUCCUCGCACUCCGCGGGUUCUCAUGAUCUCCGUUAGUCACAGCGAUCUCUAUCCCUUCGUUGGCAAUAACACGGCUAGGGCGUCCGCUCUCCUCACCGCCACCACCUCAGAUUUGUGGCAUUGUCGUCUUGGGCACCCCGGAGCUCAAUCCCUCUCCACCAUAUCUAAAUACUUUCUUAGUGAUUGUAAUAAGGCUCCUCCCUCACCAUGUAGUGCAUGCCAACUUGGCCGUCAACCGCGCCUCCCCUUCCCCUCUUCUUUUAGAAGGACAUAUUCUCCGGGUUUCCGUACUAUCUUGUUGUGUUGGAUGAUUUUACUCAUUUUACAUGGGCAUUUCCCCUAUGCAACAAAUCCGACACAUCCGCCGUGCUCCAACUCUUUUUCACUUUUGUUCACACUCAAUUCAAUAUGA